AUUGAACGCUGGCGGCAGGCCUAACACAUGCAAGUCGAACGAGUGGCGGACGGGUGAGUAAUGUCUGGGAAACUGCCUGAUGUAGGGGGCUAACUACUGGAAACGGUAGAUAAUACCGCAUACCAUCGGAUGUGCCCAGAUGGGAUUAGCUUGUUGGUGGGGUAACGGCUCACCAAGGCGACGAUCCCUAGCUGGUCUGAGAGGAUGACCAGCCAAACUGGAACUGAGACACGGUCCAGACUCCUACGGGAGGCAGCAGUGGGGAAUAUUGCACAAUGGGCGCAAGCCUGAUGCAGCCAUGCCGCGUGUAGGAAGAAGGCCUUCGGGUUGUAAAGUACUGUCGGCGGGGAGGCGUUACCCGCAGAGGAAGCACCGGCUAACUCCGUGCCAGCCGCCGCGGUAAUAC
rnacentral:rRNA from 1 species